UCCAGGAGGGACUUUGGGCCAAGAUGUUUUUGCCCAACAGAUGCUUUUGGUAUGGAGAGCUGAGAGGAACUACACCGUGAUGGAGAAGUGAAGGCUGGGUGCUUUGGGCUGGUUCAGGCUCUGAAUCCAGAAUAGAGAGUGGGGCCUGAGGGUGCAUUGUAUAGUCCUCAGUGGAGCACAUGAGGGCAGAGAAGAGGGGUUGUAGCAGGAAUCCACACCUGCAGCUACAACAUGGCCUUUACUGGGAGAAUGUGAGGCAUAAAGGUCAAGAGUUGAUCUAGCCAUGGAAGGCCAAGCUCCAACAGCCCCAUGAAAUAGAAGGAUCAUGAUCCCAAAUGAGACUCAGCCUGCCUCUCAAUCCCCAGGGGAAGGAGUCCUGAACUGAGAAAUCUGGCAAUGCCCAGCUAUCCUUCAAAUAUGCUGUGGGGCCGUGGAGCGAAUCAUAUCCUCUCCCUUGGCCUCAGUUUCUGCAUCUAAUAGCAUGGGGCAUUUGGACCAGAUGAAUUCUGAAUAGGUUGGGUGACUGUAGAGUUGUAUUCAGGACAGUGACUAAGCAUUUUCCAUGUUUUGAGAUGAUAGUUCACCAUUUUCUUUAAGGGGCUGAAUCCCUUUGGCCUGACUGCCUGACUCUAAAGUCUCAGCUUUCGGACCCUACAUCAAUAAGGAGCUGGAGAGAGGAUGGAGAUCUCCCCAAUACCCUAGGGAAAUGGGGACUGGGAGGGCUGGGGUAAUGGAGCAGUCACUGCCUGCAUCCUAGAAUAGCUGCAGCCUUCCUGGCAUCUGCCAUCCUGGCUGCAAACUCCCAUCUCAUUGGCUGCUCCUUGUCCCUGCCGUCUGGCAGGCACUGCUUUCCAGGUUUUUGUGGCACCGACUAAGCAGCCUCCUUGCAAGCUACAGCAUGCUGGCUUCUUUCUCCACGUGGUUGGGAUCAUAAUAGCAACUCUCCUCUGGUUCCCUCCAUCCUGCCUCACUUCACUUCCCUGAUGGGUGUGGACAGAGGGAUAGUUUAGGACAUUGGAAAGGGGCCUAUACUUGGCAUCAAGGGUCUCAAGUUCUUCCUACCCAUUUUUUAUGCACCUGGGCACAAGUCUAAACAUCUCUCCUGGCUUCAGCAUCUUCACCUGUGAAAUGGGUGUGAUGAGGCUGUUGUUCUACUGCUGUUAACCAGGGUGUUCAUCCCUGUGGUUCACAGCUGGAGUCCCUUUUGCUUGGCCAGUGCCCAAACUAUACGGGUUGUUUAAUAAAUGAAAUAUCUCCCUGAGGAUAAUAACGUUGGGGCAUUCACAUAGAACUUGCUGUGAGAAUUCAAUGGAGAUAAAUGAAGGAUGGGAGCAAGUGCUUUGGGAACUGUAAAGUCAUUAUCAAGUAGCGAAUACACCUGUCUGUCCAGUACCCAUUUGUCUCCUCUGUCUUGAAGGUACGUUUCACCUUGAUUUUCCACUCCCUGAUUCUUAACCAUAUAGUUCAAUUGGGACUUGCUCCACUCCCAGCUCCAAGUCUGCAUGUGAGCAGGCCUGGGCAGGUGAGCAUGUCCUCCUCUGGCUGCAGUGAUAGGUUCAGAGAUGAAUCAAACCGAAAAAGCCUUAUCCAAGCCAAUCCUGGGGUAGGACCCAGACCUGAUCAAUAAGAACACACAUGUUCUCACUGUGAUAAUGGCUUAGG
rnacentral:lncRNA from 1 species